CCUACGGGCGGCAGCAGUCGAGAAUCAUUCACAAUGGGGGAAACCCUGAUGGUGCGACGCCGCGUGGGGGAAUGAAGGUCUUCGGAUUGUAAACCCCUGUCAUGUGGGAGCAAAUUAAAAAGAUAGUACCACAAGAGGAAGAGACGGCUAACUCUGUGCCAGCAGCCGCGGUAAUACAGAGGUCUCAAGCGUUGUUCGGAAUCACUGGGCGUAAAGCGUGCGUAGGCUGUUUCGUAAGUCGUGUGUGAAAGGCGCGGGCUCAACCCGCGGACGGCACAUGAUACUGCGAGACUAGAGUAAGGGAGGGGGAACCGGAAUUCUAGGUGUAGCAGUGAAAUGCGUAGAUAUCGAGAGGAACACUCGUGGCGAAGGCGGGUUCCUGGACAUUAACUGACGCUGAGGCACGAAGGCCAGGGGAGCGAAAGGGAUUAGAUACCCGUGUAGUC
rnacentral:rRNA from 1 species